UCAGAACUGGAGCAGAUCAUAACCAACCCUGGGGGAUCCACUGACUGCAUUUUCCUGAGACAACAGGACAGCCCCACCUUCCUGCUGGUGACCUGAAAUUCCAGCUUGUAGAGCAUUUCCUGCCUCUGUGUGAAGCAGCCCGACCAUUGAAAUGUUGCUCUUGAGAUGGUUCAACUUCUCCUGUCUCUGCAUUUUUGGGCUUGGGCAGUUGGAGCAACCUGAAAUAUCGGUCACCAGAGCGACAGAUGAGAGUGCCCAAAUAUCCUGUGUAGUUUCUCUUUCAGACUUUGAUAACACAGAUAUACAUUGGUACCGGCAAAAAGCAAAUAAACAGAUUGAGUAUCUAAUAUUAGUCAGGACAAGCUACAAUCAACGCGCCUUAGAAGGGAAGAGCAAGAAAAUUGAAGCAAGUAAAGAUUUUCAAACUUCUACUUCAACUUUGAAAUUAAAUUACUUGAAGAAACAAGAUGAAGCCAUCUACUACUGUGCGCUCUGGAGAGGCACAUCAUGGGUCAAGAUAUUUGGCAAAGGGACAAAGCUCGUAAUAAUUCCUCCAGACAAACGCAUUGACUCAGACAUUUCUCCCAAGCCCACCAUUUUUCUUCCUUCCGCUGCUGAAACAACUCUCCAUAAGGCUGGGACGUACCUUUGUCUCCUUGAGAAAUUCUUUCCCGAUGUCAUAAGGGUAUAUUGGAAAGAAAAGAGUGGUGAUAAGAUUCUGGAAUCUCAAGAGGGAAACACCAUGAAAACUAAUGACAGAUACAUGAAAUUCAGUUGGCUGACGGUGCCUGAAGAUUCAAUGGCUAGAGAACAUAGUUGUAUUGUCAAACAUGAAAAGAACAAGAGAGGAGUUGACCAAGAGAUUCUAUUUCCUCUGAUAGAUAGAGCUGCCAACACCAUUGCCCCGACAGAAGGUGCUUUGAAGACUGAGAGUGCUUUCACAAGUAUUAAUGUUAAUCCCAGAGAGAGUGUUUUGAGACAUAAGAAUGUUAACAAUUCUACUAAUCUGGAAGCUUACGUGAAAGGAAGAAAGGAUAUGCUGCAGCUUCAGGUCACCACCACCUAUGCAUUCUAUACCUACCUCAUUCUGUUCUCCAAGAGCAUGGUCCACUUGGCCUUCGUCGUAUUCUGUCUGUUCAGAAGAGCAUCCUUGCCUUGUAAUGGUCAACGUUCAUAAUGGAUGAUGAAACAGCAGGGUCCUGCUCUCUUCGUCCUUUCUGCAUCUCAAUAUCUGCUGAGGGUCUAGCUGGCUUUGCUUGCUGUCUUUGACCUCCUCAGGGACACAUAUUGUGGGUUUUGUAUCAUUCAUUUCUAUACUUCUCACAGCAGAGAAGAAACUGAUCAACUUCACUCUUCAACGAAUAGUAGCUCCCAAGCAUGCAGCCAUCAUAACCCAUCCUCUCUCAGCCCCGCUAGCAGCCCCUAGCAUCACAGGCCCAGCAUACACAAACUGCAGUUCCUAGUUACCUCACUUCAUGCCCUAGAACCAAAUAACGCCCCCAAAGCCUCUACUUCAUAUGCCCUAAAUAACUUUAUUUGAACUUGAAUCUUGUACUUUGUUUUACAAAAUGUAAUAAAAAAAUCCAGCCUA